rnacentral:rRNA from 1 species
GUAAUACAUGCAAGCCGAACGGCAAGUUGAGUAGCAAUACUUGACCUAGAGUGGCGUAUGGGUGCGUAACACGUAUGCAAUCUACCCUCAACAGGAGGAUAGCUCCCCGAAAGGGGAAUUAAUACUCCAUAAGAUCACAGUCAGGCAUCUGAGAGUGAUUAAACUACAAGGGGUUGAGGAUGAGCAUGCGGUUGAUUAGUUAGUUGGUGAGGUAACGGCUCACCAAGACGAUGAUCAAUAGGGGAACUGAGAGGUUGAUCCCCCACACUGGCACUGAGAUACGGGCCAGACUCCUACGGGAGGCAGCAGUAGGGAAUAUUGGUCAAUGGGUGAGAGCCUGAACCAGCCAUGCCGCGUGCAGGAAGAAGGCCUUCUGGGUUGUAAACUGCCUUUGCCGGGGGAUAAAAUGGCUUUGCGAAGCUAAUUGAAGGUACCCGGUGAAUAAGCCACGGCUAACUACGUGCCAGCAGCCGCGGUAAUACGUAGGUGGCAAGCGUUGUCCGGAUUUAUUGGGUUUAAAGGGUGCGUAGGCGGUUCUUUAAGUCAGUGGUGAAAUACAGCCGCUUAACGGUUGAGGUGCCAUUGAUACUGAAGAACUUGAGUACAGACGAGGUAGGCGGAAUUGACGGUGUAGCGGUGAAAUGCUUAGAUAUCGUCAAGAACACCGAUAGCGAAGGCAGCUUACUAGACUGUAACUGACGCUGAGGCACGAAAGUGUGGGGAUCAAACAGGAUUAGAUACCCUGGUAGUCC